GAUGAACGCUGGCGGCGUGCCUAAUACAUGCAAGUCGAGCGAAGCGGGGACGGGUGAGUAACACGUGGAAAACCUCCUUUAAGACUGGGACAACUUCGGGCAACCGGAGCUAAACCGGCUGUUUAUAGGUGGAUCCGCGCUGCAUUAGCUAGUUGGUAAGGUAACGGCUUACUAAGGCAACGAUGCAUAGCCGACCUGAGAGGGUGAUCGGCCACACUGGAACGGAGACACGGUCCAGACUCCUACGGGAGGCAGCAGUAGGGAAUCUUCCGCAAUGGGCGAAAGCCUGACGGAGCAACGCCGCGUGAGUGAAGAAGGUCUUCGGAUCGUAAAACUCUGUUAUUAGGGAAGCGGUACCUAAUCAGAAAGCCACGGCUAACUACGUGCCAGCCGCCGCGGUAAUAC
rnacentral:rRNA from 1 species